rnacentral:rRNA from 1 species
AACGAACGCUGGCGGCGCGCCUAAUACAUGCAAGUCGAGCGAGAAGACGUAGCAAUACGUUUGUAAAGCGGCGAACGGGUGAGGAAUACAUGGGUAACCUACCCUCGAGUGGGGAAUAACUAGCCGAAAGGUUAGCUAAUACCGCAUACGGCUCUCGGUCUGCGGAUCGAGAGGGAAAGCGAUACCGUGGGUAUCGCGCUCCUGGAUGGGCUCAUGUCCUAUCAGCUUGUUGGUGAGGUAACGGCUCACCAAGGCUUCGACGGGUAGCUGGUCUGAGAGGACGAUCAGCCACACUGGCACUGCGACACGGGCCAGACUCCUACGGGAGGCAGCAGUAAGGAAUAUUGCGCAAUGGGCGACAGCCUGACGCAGCGACGCCGCGUGGGGGAUGAAGGUCUUCGGAUUGUAAACCCCUUUCGGCAGGGAAGAUGGAGCGGGUAACCGCUCGGACGGUACCUGCAGAAGCAGCCACGGCUAACUUCGUGCCAGCCGCCGCGGUAAAAC